CUGAGUUUCUGUCAGUGAGACAGCUGGACACUCACCCUGAGUCUUUGCAAAGGCAAGGCAACGUUGAAUCAACAAACGCAAAAAACAGGAACUUACAAAACCCCUCCUUCUGACUCUUCUUCGUUCAAUAUCCUUCCUUAUAUCACCCUGCGGAGGGUGUUAAGUGUAAAAUUGAAAGACGCUGAGGCAGUAAGACACCAUGGCUGAAGAGGUGACUUAUGCUGAAAUCCAAUUCACUAAUAUAAGAGGACAGAAGUGCUCAACCACCCCUUCUACUCCAGCACACCCACGAACCCCCCACACCCAGGCCAGUAAUAGAGGACGUCUCCAUAUUGCUCUGGCCGUCUCACUGUUCAUCUUCCUGCUCGCCAUGGCUGUCAUGGGCAUUGUCUUGGGGACACAGAUCAGCUCAGCCUGGGAGAGAAGACUGGAGGAGAAGGAGAAGGAGCUGGAGGAGAAGGAGAAGGAGCUGGAGAACCUCAGGCAAGAAGUCAGUGAACUCAGGAAUGAAUCUGCGAUGUGCAGCAAUGCGUCUGAGAUUUACAAGAAUGAAGCGAUGAAGUACAUGAAUUUAACCAAGAGAUACGUGAAGCAGAUGGAGAGUGCAGGUGUGGACCCCUCUACUGGAAGGAGAAGUAAGUGGGUGUGUAAUUUGUGUGGUUUUGAUGUGAGGGUGAAACAGAAGCAGAGCUGGUCAGCACGUGCAACACUGCAGUGUGUGGCGAGAGCCGUGACUCCUGGGAAGGUAAGAUCACAUGACGAGAGUGUAGAAAUCCCAGUCUCAGCUGGUGCAGGACUCUCCUGAGACAGACUGCAGCCUGACUCCAUGUCUCAGCAGG
rnacentral:lncRNA from 1 species